rnacentral:lncRNA from 1 species
UGAAUAGUGACGGUUUUGUCCAAACCUCAAAAAUAUGUAAAAAGAGAGAAAAUCCUCACACUUGAGUUUAGUUUACCGACUGCAACACUGUUACUCAGACGUCUCUAUGAUUAUGGAUCAAUGGACACUGUUUUAUGUUCUGCUUCUGCCUCUGUGUUUGUGCUUUGGCUCUGAAGGGACUGAAGUGAAAACUAUUGGAAGUGGAUCAGAUGUCACUACAAUAUGCAGCAAUACUACACGGAUCACCAUCACACUUCUAGUGUGUCGGAUCAGAACAGAGAGGAGUGGAGACGAGUGUCGUCUGCUGUAUGAACAUGGAGGGGGCUUUGAGAGCGAGUGUGACUCCAGGUUCUCACUCAUGAUGGAGAAUCAGACUGUUUUUCUUCACCUGACCAGUUUAACACCAGUGGAUAGUGGGAACUACACCUGUGAAUGCACACACUCAGGGAACCACUACUCUCCGUCUGAAUAUCACUGUAGAAGAGGAUGAAGACGGCAGCAGUUCAACACAGAUGCAGAUUCCGAGUGUUUUGAUCGUCGUACCUACAGUCAUCGUUAUAACUGGAGUUCUCCUCGGGUUCAUCUACAGAGGAAUACGUCAUGGGUGAGAGACUACUGUAACGUUCAAAGGAAUGCUUCUUAAAUGAAUAGCACUCUCAAAAAUAAUUUUAAUAUAUCCAUUGUGGUAUUAAAAUGCACUUUCAGUUGCAUAUGAAAUAAUGAAGGAAGACACCUUUCAUUUCCUGAUCUAUCUAUAGAACAAGACAACACAAAGCAGGAAGAACCAGCAUUAAUAUUCAUAACUAACGCGUUGUUGUUUGCCCCAACAGAAGACAACCACCGAGCAGUCGUCCAAACACGGUAAUGUUCUGACAAAUGUAACACCUUCAUUUAUGUGGCUCAUUUAAAUGUGUAUCUUCUUUACUUUUUAUCCAUGCGUCUCUCUGCAGGAGCCAGAAGACAUAGAGCCGUACGGCACCUUCAUGCAGAAAGAGAGCGAGCUUUAUUCAACGCUCAGAAUAAAUGUCUGUGACACGAGUAACUCAAACAUGUCGACCACAGAGGACACAUUCAGGACAUGAUUAUAACAGCUGUUGUCCAGCAGGUGGCCCUGUUUAGCUUCCUGACUGUAUCCUUAGUAAGUUUAAAGUCUAAAAUGUUAAAUUACUCUUAUUAUGUUACACUGUAAUAAUGAUCAGAAUCAUCCAAUUAUUUUACAAAUAAACAGUUAAAACUAAGUUGUGUCUUUUUUAAUAUGUCUUUAUUUAUUAGUUUCUGAAUAUAAACAAACAACAAAAUGCACUUUUCAUAUUAAGGCUUUGUCGAUGUGCAAUGAGAUUUCUUUUUUUUAAUGACAGAACAUUCAUUCUAAUGCAAGUUUUUGUUAUUAUUAUAUAAUAUUAAUGUUAUUAUAUGAUUAUUGUAGCAGGGGA